CCAGCACCCCGAGUGGUCGGGACGAUUAUUGGGCCUAAAGCAUCCGUAGCCGGUUUUACAAGUCCUCCGUUAAAUCCAACUGCUUAACAGAUGGGCCGCGGAGGAUACUAUAAAACUAGGAGGCAGGAGAGGCAAGCGGUACUCAGUGGGUAGGGGUAAAAUCCGUUGAUCCAUUGAAGACCACCAGUGGCGAAGGCGGCUUGCCAGAAUGCGCUCGACGGUGAGGGAUGAAAGCUGGGGGAGCAAACCGGAUUAGAUACCCGGGUAGUCCCAGCUGUAAACGAUGCAGACUCGGUGACGGACUAGCUUCAUGCUAGUCCAGUGCCGCAGGGAAGCCGUUAAGUCUGCCGCCUGGGUAGUACGGUCGCAAGACUG
rnacentral:rRNA from 1 species